UUGGGGAAUUUUGGACAAUGGGCGAAAGCCUGAUCCAGCCAUGCCGCGUGAGUGAAGAAGGCCUCGGGUUGUAAAGCUCUUUUAGUCGGAAAGAAAGAGUUGCAAUGAAUAAUUGUGAUUUAUGACGGUACCGACGAAAAAGCACCGGCUAACUACGUGCCAGCAGCCGCGGUAAUACGUAGGGUGCGAGCGUUAAUCGGAAUUACUGGCGUAAAGGGUGCGCAGGCGGUCUCGCAAGUCAGAUGUGAAAGCCCCGGGCUUAACCUGGGAAUUGCGUUUAAACUACAAGGCUAGAGUGCAGCAGAGGGGAGUGGAAUUCCAUGUGUAGCAGUGAAAUGCGUAGAGAUGUGGAGAACACCGAUGGCGAAGGCAGCUCCCUGGGUUGACACUGACGCUCAUGCACGAAAGCGUGGGGAGCAAACAGAUUAGAUACCCUGGUAGUCCACGCCCUAAACGAUGUCAACUAGUUGUCGGAUCUAAUUAAGGAUUUGGUAAGUAGCUAACGCGUGAAGUUGACCGCCUGGGGAGUACGGUCGCAAGAUUAAAACUCAAAUGAAUUGACGG
rnacentral:rRNA from 1 species